CCUACGGGGUGCAGCAGUAGGGAAUAUUCCGCAAUGGAGGAAACUUUGAUGGAGUGACGCCGCGUGCAGGAAGAAGGUUUUCGGAUUGUAAACUGCUUUAGACAGGGAAGAACAUAGACAGUACCUGUUGAAUAAGCUCCGGCUAAAUACGUGCCAGCAGCCGCGGCAAAACGUAGGGCGGAAGCGUUGUCCGGAUAUAUUGGGUGGAAAGGGUGCGUAGACGGGGAAGCAAGUUAGUUGGUAAAUCCCUCGGCUUAACUGAGGAACUGCAACGAAUACUACUUCCCUAGAGUUCUAGAGAGGAAAGUGGAAUUCCAAGUGUAGCGGUGAAAUGCGUAGAUAUAAGGAAGAACACCAGUGGCGAAGGCGACUUACUGGAUAUUAACUGACGUUGAGGCACGAAAGUGUGGGGAGCAAACAGGAUUAGAUACCCUUGUAGUC
rnacentral:rRNA from 1 species